GCCGGGGUAGCCUAGCCUGGUUUGGGCGCCAGACCCCAAAUCUGGAGAACCUAAAGAAGGUCCAGAAGUCGCGGGUUCGAAUCCCGCCCCCGGCACCA
rnacentral:tRNA from 1 species